CUAUCUGCAGUCGAGCGAUGGAUUAAGAGCUUGCUCUUAUGAAGUUAGCGGCGGACGGGUGAGUAACACGUGGGUAACCUGCCCAUAAGACUGGGAUAACUCCGGGAAACCGGGGCUAAUACCGGAUAACAUUUUGAACCGCAUGGUUCGAAAUUGAAAGGCGGCUUCGGCUGUCACUUAUGGAUGGACCCGCGUCGCAUUAGCUAGUUGGUGAGGUAACGGCUCACCAAGGCAACGAUGCGUAGCCGACCUGAGAGGGUGAUCGGCCACACUGGGACUGAGACACGGCCCAGACUCCUACGGGAGGCAGCAGUAGGGAAUCUUCCGCAAUGGACGAAAGUCUGACGGAGCAACGCCGCGUGAGUGAUGAAGGCUUUCGGGUCGUAAAACUCUGUUGUUAGGGAAGAACAAGUGCUAGUUGAAUAAGCUGGCACCUUGACGGUACCUAACCAGAAAGCCACGGCUAAC
rnacentral:rRNA from 1 species